GAUGAACGCUGGCGGCGUGCCUAAUACAUGCAAGUCGAGCGAACGGACGAGAAUCUUGCUUCUCUGAUGUUAGCGGCGGACGGGUGAGUAACACGUGGAUAACCUACCUAUAAGACUGAGAUAACUUCGGGAAACCGGAGCUAACACCGGACAAUAUUUUGAACCGCAUGGUUCAUAAGUGAAAGACGGUCUUGCUGUCACUUAUAGAUGGAUCCGCGCUGCAUUAGCUAGUUGGUAAGGUAACGGCUUACCAAGGCAACGAUGCAUAGCCGACCUGAGAGGGUGAUCAGCCACACUGGAACUGAGACACGGUCCAGACUCCUACGGGAGGCAGCAGUAGGGAAUCUUCCGCAAUGGGCGAAAGCCUGACGGAGCAACGCCGCGUGAGUGAUGAAGGUCUUCGGAUCGUAAAACUCUGUUAGUAGGGAAGAACAUAUGUGUAAGUAACUGUGCACAUCUUGACGGUACCUAAUCAGAAAGCCACGGCUAACUACGUG
rnacentral:rRNA from 1 species